rnacentral:lncRNA from 1 species
CGCCGUCUUCUGCAAAAGCACCUUAGAGAAUUCGACCGCUUCCCUUACGGAAGGCUUUCCUCAUUCAUUCGUCCUCACCUUUGUUUAGGCAAUGAAUAUUUAAUUCCGUGUCUAUUAGGUGCCAGGCACCGUACUUUGAGGCAGAAUCAUAGAAAUGAAAAAGACACAGCCACUUAAAAUUCUGGACUUUCUUUUAUCCUUACAGCCAACUCUUCAGCUAAAACAAAUCCAUUUGUUACCAAAGAGACAUCGCUUCUGCCCAAGGUUGGCUCCUGGCCUGCUCCCUCUGAAAUGAUGAGGAAAACAGCUGUUGCUCCACAGAAGCCUCCUUGUCAAGGAAAUGGCGACGUCUGGUGGCCCAGGAACAGCUGCCCCCAGUCACGGGGUGACAGAAUUCGGUGAAUCCUUCCGCAAAUGACGACCGGGCAAGUGUUGGUAUAACUUCAGCAUGAACGAGUGUUUGGAAUGCGGAGAAGAGCAGCAGAUGAGAACGUGGAGCUCGGCUCUGUGACGCACAAACAGCUGCAGAAUCCCAUGGAGCCCAGAGAGAAGCGAUGCAACAGGCCAGGCCAGGAAAGCCAGCUUGAGGCCACCCCCGGCCCCCCUUCCACACACCUGCCCCGAGUUCAUCCUGAUGCAGCGAGAAGGCAACCAUCUGCAAACAAGGAAGCCAGCCGUCACCGGGAGCUGACGACCCGACACCCUGGUCUCAGACCUCCAGCUGCAGAACCAUGAGAAAUGAAUGUCUGCUGUGCAAGCCCCCCACUCUGUGGAGUUUGUUACCGCAACCUGGGCUGACGGAGACAUGCCUCCUAGUGCCAAGGCCUGCACUGGGCUCUGGGAGUAGAAAGAGAAGGAAGAAGGGCCCCUGCCCCAGAGGAGCACAGAGCCUCCUGAGAGAGGGGGGCCACACGCCGGCAGUGACUGUGGUGGGGGCAUAAUGGGGGUACAUCCUCCAAGUGCUGGGGGGGGACAGAGGUGGGGGUACAAGGUCUCUGCCUGUGGGACACCUGUGUCAAUGAAAGAUUGUUCGAUAUUCUCGUGUGGCUUCUGUGCACCAAAAUAUUACUAAGAGGUGAUUUUCAUUUUAAAACAUUAAUAUUUAUCUUACUAAAGUUACAAAUUUUACAAUCUAA